rnacentral:misc_RNA from 1 species
GUAGGUGAACCUGCGGAUGGAUUAUUAACAAUUGUAUUAUCAAUUUAACACCUGUGUACUGUAUUGAGCGGUUUAUCCCUCAUAUUAACUUAUAUUUUAUACUGAACAUGAUAUAUAAGAAUCAUAAAACUUUUAGCAACGGAUCUCUAGGUUCUC